AUUGAACGCUAGCUACAGGCUUAACACAUGCAAGUCGAGGGGUAACGAGAGGAAAGCUUGCUUUCCUUGUCGACGACCGGCGCACGGGUGAGUAACGCGUAUCCAACCUGCCCCCAACUCGGGAAUAACCUUGCGAAAGUAAGACUAAUACCCUAUAAUUUCCUCAGAUGACAUCUGACGAGGAAUAAAGAUUUAUCGGUUGUGUCUGGGGAUGCGUCUGAUUAGCUUGUUGGCGGGGUAACGGCCCACCAAGGCAACGAUCAGUAGGGGUUCUGAGAGGAAGGUCCCCCACAUUGGAACUGAGACACGGUCCAAACUCCUACGGGAGGCAGCAGUGAGGAAUAUUGGUCAAUGGGCGGAAGCCUGAACCAGCCAAGUAGCGUGCAGGAUGAAGGCCUUCGGGUUGUAAACUGCUUUUGUACGGAACGAAAAGGCUCUGGUUAAUACCUGGGGUCCAUGACGGUACCGUAAGAAUAAGCACCGGCUAACUACGUGCCAGCCGCCGCCGUAA
rnacentral:rRNA from 1 species